rnacentral:rRNA from 1 species
AUUGAACGCUGGCGGCAGGCCUAACACAUGCAAGUCGAGCGGAUGAAGGGAGCUUGCUCCUGGAUUCAGCGGCGGACGGGUGAGUAAUGCCUAGGAAUCUGCCUGGUAGUGGGGGAUAACGUCCGGAAACGGGCGCUAAUACCGCAUACGUCCCGAGGGAGAAAGUGGGGGAUCUUCGGACCUCACGCUAUCAGAUGAGCCUAGGUCGGAUUAGCUAGUUGGUGGGGUAAAGGCCUACCAAGGCGACGAUCCGUAACUGGUCUGAGAGGAUGAUCAGUCACACUGGAACUGAGACACGGUCCAGACUCCUACGGGAGGCAGCAGCGGGGAAUAUUGGACAAUGGGCGAAAGCCUGAUCCAGCCAUGCCGCGUGUGUGAAGAAGGUCUUCGGAUUGUAAAGCACUUUAAGUUGGGAGGAAGGGCAGUAAGUUAAUACCUUGCUGUUUUGACGUUACCAACAGAAUAAGCACCGGCUAACUUCGUG